UACAGAGGGUGCAAGCGUUGUUCGGAAUUAUUGGGCGUAAAGCGCGUGUAGGCGGCUUUGCAAGUCGGGUGUGAAAUCCCUCAGCUCAACUGAGGAAGUGCGCCCGAAACUGCAGAGCUUGAGUACCGGAGAGGAUGGCGGAAUUCCCCAAGUAGAGGUGAAAUGCGUAGAGAUGGGGGAGAACACUCGUGGCGAAGGCGGCCAGCUAGACCAGUUCUGACACUGAGGCGCGACAGCGUGGGGAGCAAACAGG
rnacentral:rRNA from 1 species